CCGGAAGGCUUUGUUACAGACCGCAUUCAGCCUGCAUUCAGAUGGCAUGUCAAGAACUGUAUUACUCUUGUCCCCUCGUCCAACUCUUAGACUCCCAUAAUUAACCCAGAGGAAGUUGUAAGUGAAAUAAUUAUGAGGUCCUUUCAAAGCUAGACACUUGACACAUGUGUUAUAGAAACCUUAUAAAAAGGAAACUGGAUUCUUGUAAAUUUUAAGAUUAUAUUAAUUCAGACACAAAGACACUCCUAUGAAUUUUCACAAAAAUACUCAAAUCACAGAGUUUGUUCUGCCUGCCAUUGAGAUGUGGGGGAUUUUGCUGUGUGCACUAAAUUCUCUUCUUCUUCUAUUUAUUUACUUAUUUAUUUCCUUCUUCUCCCCAAAGCCCCCCAGUACGUAGUUGUAUGUUUUAGUUGUGAGUCCUUGUUGUGGCAUGUGGGAUGCCACCUCAGCAUGGCUUGAUGAGCAGGGCUAUGUUCGCACCCAGGAUCUGAACCGGUGAAGCCCUGGGCUGCCAAAGCAGAGCACAUGAACUUAACCACUUGGCCACAGGGCAACCCCUACAUUCUCUUCUUUAACUGCCCAUGUCACGAGAGCACAAGACUAGAGUGAAGACAAGCACGGGAGACCAAGGAUGAGAGUUUAUUGAACAUGAUGGUCUCAUCCACAUUCGAAAGCACAAUCCAGGUGAGACCUCAAUCAUGUAUCUAGACGGGUGUCCAGCUUCUGCAGGAGGAAGUACAGAAGCUCCGAGAUUAGGCCACACAGGGUCGAAACCUGCUCCUGCCGCUGACUGGCUGUCUGUCCUUCAUCAGGUCAUUUAACCUCUUUGACCAGUGCCUGGCAUAGAGCCUGGCCCGUGUAAGGAUGGUCGUGAGCAAUGGAGUGCAGUUUGUCCAGGAACACCCAGGAGAACACACCCGAAGCCUCACUGGAGGACUCAGCCUCCUCGUCUGGUUGGUAAAUAGCCAUCCAUCCAUCCGUUCACCAGGAUGACGAGUUUAUACACACACACCAGAAUCAGGUUUUUCCUUUUCUUUUCUUUUCUUUUCUUUCUUUCUUUUUUUUUUUUUGUGAGGACGACUAGCUCUGAGCUAACGUCUGUUGCCAGUCUUCCUCUAUUUUGCUUGAGGAAGACUGUCGCUGAGCUAACAUCUGUGGCAGUCUUCCUCCAUUUGUUGUAUGUGGGACACUGCCACAGUAUGGCUUGGUGAGCAAUGUGGAGGUCCACUCCUGGGAUCUGAACCUGUGAACCCCAGGCUGCUGAAGGAGAGUGCACAAACUUAACCACUACGCCACUAGGCUGGCCCCCAGAGUCAGAUUUUAUUCCUCUUUUUUCCCUGAAUUGACUGUCUUGGGAAGAGAAGAGUAGCCAGGUGAGGGGACGUGUGUGGGGAAGUUUUCUUCCCUACAAGAAAGACUCUAAUAAAUGAGACUGUUUCUUAUCCAAGUUAUAGUAUUUCUUGGCACUUUUUUCUUUCAAAAUGUGUUUUUUGUCUAAAAUUGAAGCAUAAUAAUAAUAA
rnacentral:lncRNA from 1 species